rnacentral:rRNA from 1 species
GGCCGGGCCCAGCGGUCCACCGUUCCGGUGCGCACUGCGCGGGCCUGGCCUUCACCUCCCGUGUGUGCGUGUACGGCGCGUGCGCCUUUGGCCGCGCGCCUGCACGGGCCUCGGGUCGUUUACCUUGAAAAAAUUAGAGUGUUCAAAGCAGGCCUGCGCCUGAAUAGAUUAGCAUGGAAUAAUAGAAUAGGACUACGGUCUUAUUUUGUUGGUUCUACGACCGCAGUA